AGUGAACGCUGGCGGUAGGCCUAACACAUGCAAGUCGAACGGCAGCACAGUAAGAGCUUGCUCUUACGGGUGGCGAGUGGCGGACGGGUGAGGAAUACAUCGGAAUCUACUUUUUCGUGGGGGAUAACGUAGGGAAACUUACGCUAAUACCGCAUACGACCUACGGGUGAAAGCAGGGGAUCUUCGGACCUUGCGCGAUUGAAUGAGCCGAUGUCGGAUUAGCUAGUUGGCGGGGUAAAGGCCCACCAAGGCGACGAUCCGUAGCUGGUCUGAGAGGAUGAUCAGCCACACUGGAACUGAGACACGGUCCAGACUCCUACGGGAGGCAGCAGUGGGGGAUAUUGGACAAUGGGCGUAAGCCUGAUCCAGCCAUACCGCGUGGGUGCAGAAGGCCUUCGGGUUGUAAAGCCCUUUUGUUGGGAAAGAAAAGCAGCAGGUUAAUACCCCGCUGUUCUGACGGUACCCAAAGAAUAAGCACCGGCUAACUUCGUG
rnacentral:rRNA from 1 species